CAGGCGGCCAAUCACCGCCCGGGCCCGGGCCGCCGCGCCCGCCACCCGCUCCCAGCCUCCGCCCCCAGCCGCAUGGGCCGCGCCGCCGCCCGGGGCCGGGUAGGCGAGUGCGGGGCUGCGUGCGCCGCUCCCGGCGGCAAAGCAAGGGAACCCGCGGCCCUCCCGGAUCGAUGGCUCAGGGAUGCUCACACCCCAUGACCCUCACCCAUCGCCACAUCCCCCUGCCGGGGCAGGGGGCUCCGCGGCAACAACGCGCCUUCUGAUUGGUCGCCCGUUGCCAUAGUUCCACCUCGGCGGCAAUAACACGUCUCUUGAUUGGUUGGUUUGGGCCGACAGUUGCAGUACAGCUACCUGCUGGGGCGCGGGCAACCCGGCUCCGGCCACUGCGCAUGCUCCCCAGCUGGGCCGGCUGCGGACGCGGGAAGGGAGGUGGUGGCGACUGACGGAACUGGGUGAAGAUGGAGUCUCUGUCACCCAGGCUGGAGUGCAAUGGCGCAAUCUCGGCUCCCUGCAACUUCUGCCUCCCGGAUUCAAGCAAUUCUCCCGCCUCAGCCUCGCAAGUAGCUGGGAUUACAGGCACACACCACCAUGCCUGGCUAGUUUUUGUAUUUUUGUAGAGACAGGGUUUCGCUGUGUUGGCCAGGCUGGUCUUGAACUCUUGACCUCAGGUGAUCUGCCCACCUCGGCCUCCCAAAGUGCUGGGAUUCCAGGAGUGAGCCACUGCUCGUGGCCUGUAUUUUUUAUGGAAACAGAAAAGCCCAUCCUAAAGUUUACAGAAAAUCUCUCUCUCUCUCUCUGUCACUCUCUCUCUUUUUAUAAGACAUGGUGUCACUAUGUUGCCCAGGCUGGACUUGAACUCCUUGGCUCAAAUAAUCAUCUCACCUCAGCCUACUGAAUAGCUGGGAUUACAGGUGUGUACUACUCCACCUGUCUGUCAUAUGGAAUAUUAAGGAACCCUGAAUAGCUAAAAUAAUCUUGAAAAAGAAGACUAUAGUUGGAGGACUCACAGUUCCUGAUUUCAAAACUUACUACAAAGCCAUGGUAAUUAAACAGUGUGAUCUUGGCUUAAAGAUAGACAGAGAAACCAAUGGUAUAGAGAAGACAGCCAAGAAAUAAGCCACUGCAUAUAUCAUCAGUUGAUUUUUGACAAGGGCUCCAAAAAACCCUCUCCAGGGAAAGGGUAGUCUUAUUAAUGGUGCUGAGAAAACUGGAUAUCCACAUGCAAAAGAAUGAAGUUGGACUCUUCCGUUAUACCACAUACAAAAAUUGACUCAAAAUAAGUCAAAGACUUAAAUGUAAAAGCUAAAGCUAUAAAACUCGUAGAAGAAAACACAGGGGAAAACCUUCAUGACAUUGGAUUUGGCAGUAAUUUCUUGGAAAUGACACCAAAAGCACUGGCAAUAAAUGAAAAAAAUAGGUAAAUUGGACUUCUUCUAAAUUUAAAGUAUGUACAUCAGUGCAGUGUGG
rnacentral:lncRNA from 1 species